GCUGGGUGUGGUGGCGUGCACCUGUAGUCCCAGCUACUCAGGAGGCUGAGGCAGGAGAGUCGCUUGAACCCAGGAGGCGUAGGUUGCAGUGAGCCGAGAUCGUGCCACUGCACUCCAGCCUGGAUGACAGAGUGAGAUUCAGUCUCAG
rnacentral:SRP_RNA from 1 species